rnacentral:rRNA from 1 species
CUACACAUGCAAGUCGAGCGGCAGCACGGGUACUUGUACCUGGUGGCGAGCGGCGGACGGGUGAGUAAUGCCUAGGAAUCUGCCUGGUAGUGGGGGAUAACGCUCGGAAACGGACGCUAAUACCGCAUACGUCCUACGGGAGAAAGCAGGGGACCUUCGGGCCUUGCGCUAUCAGAAGAUCCUAGGUCGGAUUAGCUAGUUGGUGAGGUAAUGGCUCACCAAGGCGACGAUCCGUAACUGGUCUGAGAGGAUGAUCAGUCACACUGGAACUGAGACACGGUCCAGACUCCUACGGAGGCAGCAGUGGGAUAUUGGAACAAUGGGCAAAGCCUGAUCCAGCCAUGCCGCGUGUGUGAAGAAGGUCUUCGGAUUGUAAAGCACUUUAAGUUGGGAGGAAGGGCAGUUACCUAAUACGUGAUUGUUUUGACGUUACCGACAGAAUAAGCACCGGCUAACUCUGUGCCAGCAGCCGCGGUAAUACAGAGGGUGCAAG